rnacentral:rRNA from 1 species
UACGGAGGAUCCAAGCGUUAUCCGGAUUCAUUGGGUUUAAAGGGUGCGUAGGCGGAAUGAUAAGUCAGUGGUGAAAUCCUGCAGCUUAACUGCAGAACUGCCAUUGAUACUGUCAAUCUUGAGUAUAUUUGAUGUGGGCGGAAUGUGUCAUGUAGCGGUGAAAUGCUUAGAUAUGACACAGAACACCGAUUGCGAAGGCAGCUCACUAAGCAGACAUUGACGCUGAGGCACGAAAGCGUGGGGAGUCAAACAGG